GAUGAAGAACGCAGCGAAAUGCGAUAAGUAGUGUGAAUUGCAGAAUUCAGUGAAUCAUCGAAUCUUUGAACGCACAUUGCGCCCUUUGGUAUUCCAAAGGGCAUGCCUGUUCGAGCGUCAUUUGUACCCUCAAGCUUUGCUUGGUGUUGGGCGUCUUGUCUCUAGCUUUGCUGGAGACUCGCCUUAAAGUAAUUGGCAGCCGGCCUACUGGUUUCGGAGCGCAGCACAAGUCGCACUCUCUAUCAGCAAAGGUCUAGCAUCCAUUAAGCCUUUUUUUCAAUUUUUGACCUCGGAUCAGGUAGGGAUACCCGCUGAACUUAAGCAUAUCAAUAAGCGGAGGA
rnacentral:misc_RNA from 1 species